CAUCUCCUUAAUCGGAGAGUUCCCUUCGGGGACAUUGGUGACAGGUGGUGCAUGGUUGUCGUCAGCUCGUGUCGUGAGAUGUUGGGUUAAGUCCCGCAACGAGCGCAACCCUUGUCUUUAGUUGCCAUCAUUAAGUUGGGCACUCUAGAGAGACUGCCAGGGAUAACCUGGAGGAAGGUGGGGAUGACGUCAAAUCAUCAUGCCCCUUAUGCUUAGGGCUACACACGUGCUACAAUGGGUAGUACAGAGGGUUGCCAAGCCGUAAGGUGGAGCUAAUCCCUUAAAGCUACUCUCAGUUCGGAUUGUAGGCUGAAACUCGCCUACAUGAAGCUGGAGUUACUAGUAAUCGCAGAUCAGAAUGCUGCGGUGAAUGCGUUCCCGGGUCUUGUACACACCGCCCGUCACACCACGGGAGUUGGAGACGCCCGAAGCCGAUUAUCUAACCGUUUGGAAGAAGUCGUCGAAGGUGGAAUCAAUAACUGGGGUGAAGUCGUAACAAGGUAGCCGUAUCGGAAGGUGCGGCUGGAUCACCUCCUUUCUAAGGAGA
rnacentral:rRNA from 1 species